AUGAAUAUCUUAAGCUGGAACUGCCGGGGAGUGGGGAAUACCCGGACAGUUCGUGAACUAGUGACUAUCUCUCAUUCGCAUUCCCCCACUAUGAUUUUCUUAUGUGAGACAAGGCAAAAGGAAGAAAAGUUGAGAAGAUUACGGGGCCGAUUGGGUUUGAAAGGAUUUUCUGGUGUGGAUAGCAAUGGUUUCAGUGGUGGGUUGGCACUUUGUUUGGCAUGA
rnacentral:rRNA from 1 species